rnacentral:lncRNA from 1 species
UUUUAGGAGCUCUGUAGUUAUUUCCCCCCUACUUUAGGUGUGCUUGGAGAAGCUGCUGACUGUUGAUAGGCAGGUACGACAGAGCUGACACCAUACUUGAGAGGAUUUUGCUGGUGUUAUCAGCAGCAUGACCAGAAUCAAAGGCGA